rnacentral:rRNA from 1 species
UGGGGAAUAUUGCACAAUGGGCGCAAGCCUGAUGCAGCCAUGCCGCGUGUAUGAAGAAGGCCUUCGGGUUGUAAAGUACUUUCAGCGGGGAGGAAGGGAGUAAAGUUAAUACCUUUGCUCAUUGACGUUACCCGCAGAAGAAGCACCGGCUAACUCCGUGCCAGCAGCCGCGGUAAUACGGAGGGUGCAAGCGUUAAUCGGAAUUACUGGGCGUAAAGCGCACGCAGGCGGUUUGUUAAGUCAGAUGUGAAAUCCCCGGGCUCAACCUGGGAACUGCAUCUGAUACUGGCAAGCUUGAGUCUCGUAGAGGGGGGUAGAAUUCCAGGUGUAGCGGUGAAAUGCGUAGAGAUCUGGAGGAAUACCGGUGGCGAAGGCGGCCCCCUGGACAAAGACGGACGCUCAGGUGCGAAAGCGUGGGGAGCAAACAGG